UCUUCCGUAGUAUGGUGGUCAGUAUGUGAGCUUGUCAUAUUCGACAUCGCUCGAGACCCGGGUUAAAUUCCCGGCGGGAAAG
rnacentral:tRNA from 1 species